GGCCUCGUUGCUCAGCUAGUGGAGCGUGCGCUGUAUGAAAGCGUGGGCGGCGUUCAUGCGUGGGUUCGAAUCCCACCGAGGCUA
rnacentral:tRNA from 1 species